rnacentral:rRNA from 1 species
GAUGAACGCUGACAGAAUGCUUAACACAUGCAAGUCGAUGGGGAAGUGGUGCUUGCACCAUGGCAACCCUGGCGGACGGGUGAGUAACGCGUAAGGGACUUACCUGCAGGACUGGGAUAACAGGGGGAAACUCCUGACAAGACCGGAUAAUGUCAUGGAGCUGCAUGGCUUUAUGAUGAAAGGAGACGCCUGCGGAGAGCCUUGCGUCCUAUUAGCUAGUUGGUGAGGUAAUGGCUCACCAAGGCGAAGAUAGGUAGCCGGCCUGAGAGGGUGGACGGCCACAAGGGGACUGAGAUACGGCCCUUACUCCUACGGGAGGCAGCAGUGGGGAAUAUUGGACAAUGGGGGCAACCCUGAUCCAGCAAUUCUGUGUGCACGAAGAAGGUUUUCGGAUUGUAAAGUGCUUUCAGCAGGGAAGAAGUAAGUGACGGUACCUGCAGAAGAAGCGACGGCUAAAUACGUG